GUGAUCUUCACUGUAACAGCUGCAGCAUCACAACACAGAGAGGUUUUUGUACCAGCAGUAAUAGUGAUUGUAUCACUGUGGUGGACUUUUGGUAGUGGCACCAGACUUGAUGUUGGAAGUAACAGUGCCCCCACCCUCACCAUCCUGCCCCCCUCUAGUGAGGAGCUGUCCAGUACAACAACAGCCACACUGACAUGUCUGGCCAACAAGGGCUUCCCCUCAGACUGGACCAUGAGCUGGAAAGUGGACGGGACCAACAAGAUCCAGGAGAUCAGUUCUAGGGUCCUGGAGAAGGAUGGCCUGUACAGCUGGAGCAGCACCCUGACUCUCACUGCCCAGGAGUGGACCAAGGCAGGAGAGGUGACCUGUGAAGCCCAGCAGAAAUCCCAGAAUCCAGUGACCAAGACCCUGAGGAAGGCUGACUGUUCUGGAUAGGACUACUCAGUCACACCCCUGUGGAGAGAGCCUGCUGGUUCCUCUGCUUUGACUCUGUUCUGAGAUCAGAUGUUCUGUCUUAUUGAUCUCUGACAUGUAGACUAACAGAGGGCUUUGGUUGAGUUCAUGUGUUAAUCCUCUCUGUAUCAGUGUUAGAUGUGAUGUGUUCUGUUUUAUUACAAUUAGAUACUGUAGGAAUGUUUGCUUUGAUGCUUUAAUGAAUAGAUGAAAUAAAGAUGUUCCUUUGGACAAAUA